GUUCUCCCAGUCCAUGCAUGGGAAACACUAAGAGGAAUUCGAAUUUCCCGUGGAAGGCAACACGGACCCUCGGCCUCCCCCAUGCCUCUCACAUUUCAGUAUCUCAAAGCAAGUUGAGGCGGACAAGGAAAGAAAACAGCUGAAAUGAAAAUGGUUAAGUUAAUUAAUUGCGAGCUUGCUUGUAGGACCAGCUCGUUUAUUUAAUCAGUUGCCUAGUAACCCUGCCUGCGUAUGAUGUAAAUCUGAUCAUCCUGCCUCUGAGCAAGUGAUGGGCCAGUCUGUUUACCAGCCACCAGCACUCCCGUCCUGCUUCCACAGAUUCUGCAGCUGAGGGACCAAGGUCUUUGCAUCAUCGUGACCUUUCACCUGGUGAAUCAGAGGACAACUAAAAGGACUCACAUCUGCCUUCCUUCUAGAGCAACCUGCACGCCAGGUGCCAGACGAGCGGCCCAGCUCUCAAAACUAUCACCACUUCUGUUCUCACGUCGAUAAACAGGUCAUGUUUCCACACAACAGCUCAUGUUAGGGCCUCUACCCGGAGCAGAACUGAGAGGCCCCGGCAAAGAGCAGGCUUUGGGCUGUUGGUUUCGUGUCUGUGAGCUUUUCUGAGGGACCUUAAGUGGGAAGAGAGAAUAAAUGCUGAGUGUAAUCACGAAAGACCAGCUCAAGACAAACUGUGCAGUUUGCUUUCCUGGCUGGGAAAAAAAAAAUAAUAACUCACAUACUGACAGGCAAGAGAGUGCCGAGGACUCUUUUUGUGCUAGAUUUAUUGGAGGAUUUGACAAGGAUUUGCUUGCAGUUUUUCACCCCCUUAUGCUAUUCUCUUAGCUGGUUGUUUUGAACAUCUCUCCUCCGUCUUUAUCCCCAGCCAUCCUCGUUCUUUGGCCAAAUAAAAAGGAAACAUCAAUGCAAUAAAGACCCAUGUUUCUGCUUCGACACACCAUGACCACAUUCUUAUACUAUUAUGAGGUGGGCUUUUUUUUUUUUCCCUUCUAUUUGUCAGUCUCUGUGGAUAAAAGACUCCAUCUUCCAUAAAGAAUUCCCACCAGAAAUCUUUAUAAACCCUCCAUCAGAGAGACACUCUGCCAUCGUGCUGUGCAAAAGCUAAUCUAAUUAAGACAGGAUCUGCUAAAUUUAAUAGCCUGCUAUGAAUUUUUACAGACAUCUGGUAGCUGGAAGUUGGAGCAGCUCUAACAUAUAAAAUUCACAUUGUCCAGAUGACCAAUAGAGGGU